GUGACUGCGGAGACAUUCACACAUUUGGUUGAACAACGGUUUCCAGCCAGUUUUCAAGCCAUUUCGGUGGUUUUUUGGGGCUGUGUGUGGGGCUGCUGUGCAACUAAAACCUUUCGAACCCUAACCAUCAUCCAACCUUUGAAUCCGUUUUCUCCCACCCCACGACGAUUUUUCUGUGCUACAGUCUACGUAUCAAUGCUUUUUUAUCUGUGGAUAUGGGGGGCCAGAAGGGGAAGGGUAGGGAAAUAGUAGUGUAUGGAUAUGCUUGUUUUUUAGUGUGUUAUGUUAUGUCAUGUGUCACCCAGGUGCUCUCAGGUUCAAUUCAUUUAUUCAGACCUAAAUCAGUCGAGAUACCCCAA
rnacentral:misc_RNA from 1 species